UACAGAGGUCUCAAGCGUUGUUCGGAUUCAUUGGGCGUAAAGGGUGCGUAGGCGGCGCGGUAAGUCGGGUGUGAAAUUUCGAGGCUUAACUUCGAAACUGCAUUCGAUACUGCCGUGCUAGAGGACUGGAGAGGAGACUGGAAUUCAUGGUGUAGCAGUGAAAUGCGUAGAGAUCAUGAGGAAGACCAGUGGCGAAGGCGGGUCUCUGGACAGUUCCUGACACUGAGGCACGAAGGCCAGGGGAGCAAACGGG
rnacentral:rRNA from 1 species